rnacentral:lncRNA from 1 species
CGCCUCAUCGCUACUCGUCCGCAUACCGGACGGGAACACGUGGCACCGGCACGCCGACCAUGUUCGGCCUCGCCUCGUGACCCAGCCUGCAACCUUGGCCGCCACUUCAGAAGACCAGCCCGCAGGGGGGCCAACGGCAACACCGGUCGCUGCCAGCGAAGCACCAGAGGCGGCAAGCGUCGCCAGUUGUGCGGCACCAGUUGAGCCACUGCCAAGUUCGGUGCCAUUUUCAAGGCCGGUCACUGCUGACCCUCCGGACGGAGCUCGACUGGCUCAGGGAGAACCCGGAUCGUCAACACCUGUGCCCAGGCGGAGUACUCGACAGCGGAGGCCGCCGGACCGUUACUCGCCUGGAUAGCAGGAAGCG